rnacentral:rRNA from 1 species
CGGACUCCUACGGGGAGGCAGUCAGUCGGGGAAUAUUGCACAAUGGGGGAAACCCUGAUGCAGCCAUGCCGCGUGUGUGAAGAAGGCCUUCGGGUUGUAAAGCACUUUCAGUAGGGAGGAAGGUAGUGUAGUUAACACCUGCAUUAUUUGACGUUACCUACAGAAGAAGCACCGGCUAACUCCGUGCCAGCAGCCGCGGUAAUACGGAGGGUGCGAGCGUUAAUCGGAAUUACUGGGCGUAAAGCGCAUGCAGGCGGCCUGUUAAGUCAGAUGUGAAAGCCCGGGGCUUAACCUCGGAAUUGCAUUUGAAACUGGCAGGCUAGAGUCUUGUAGAGGGGGGUAGGAAUUUCAGGUGUAGCGGUGAAAUGCGUAGAGAUCUGAAGGAAUACCAGUGGCGAAGGCGGCCCCCUCGGACAAAGACUGACGCUCAGAUGCGAAAGCGUGGGGAGCAAACAGGAUUAGAUACCCCUGGUAG